UACAGGGGGGGGCAAGCGUUGUUCGGAAUUACUGGGCGUAAAGGGCUUGUAGGUGGCCGACUAAGUCCGAUGUGAAAUCCCCGGGCUUAACCUGGGAACUGCAUUUGUGACUGGCGGACUCGAGUAUGGCAGAGGGGGGUAGAAUUCCACGUGUAGCAGUGAAAUGCGUAGAGAUGUGGAGGAAUACCGAUGGCGAAGGCAGCCCCCUGGGCCAAUACUGACGCUCAUGCACGAAAGCGUGGGGAGCAAACAGG
rnacentral:rRNA from 1 species